UUAAGAUUCAAAUAAAUAACUAUCGAUAUUUUAGUUAGUGCUUCUGCUGAUUUUCCAGCUCAUAUGUUCCGUUCUCGGCAAAUGUUCUGUUUUUGGCAAAGUGUGUAAGAGGUACAGCUAUAGCUUUUGACUCUGUAAAAGCGAAGUUCUUAUUAGAUUUGAUAUCAAGUUGUAACAUAAGUUUUGACACGCUACUAAUCGUGUUUUGCUGGACUUGUAAAAGGGACAUUCUGUGUACAGAUGUGAUAACGUUGUGUCGAAAUAGCUGAAGGCGUCCAAAGCGAUUUUUUAUUCCAAUCGAAACACGGAAACUGCUUUUCAGAAAGGUCAAAAGCAUAGACAUUCGCACAAUCAAUUCGGCACGU
rnacentral:misc_RNA from 1 species